rnacentral:rRNA from 1 species
AUACGGAGGGUCCGAGCGUUAUCCGGAAUUAUUGGGUUUAAAGGGUCCGUCGGCGGGCGAUUAAGUCAGUGGUGAAAGUCUUCAGCUCAACUGUAGAAUUGCCUUUGAUACUGAUUGUCUUGAGUUAUAGUGAAGUUGCCGGAAUAUGUAGUGUAGCGGUGAAAUGCAUAGAUAUUACAUAGAACACCGAUUGCGAAGGCAGGUGACUAACUGUAUACUGACGCUGAUGGACGAAAGCGUGGGGAGCGAACAGGAUUAGAAACCCGAGUAGUCC